rnacentral:rRNA from 1 species
AACGAACGCUGGCGGCAGGCUUAACACAUGCAAGUCGAACGGCUGUAGCAAUACAGCAGUGGCAGACGGGUGAGUAACACGUGGGAACCUUCCUAGGGGUACGGAACAACUCAGGGAAACUUGAGCUAAUACCGUAUACGUCCGUAAGGAGAAAGAUUCAUCGCCCCUAGACGGGCCCGCGUCGGAUUAGUAGUUGGUGGGGUAACGGACCUACCAAGCCUACGAUCCGUAGCUGAUCUGAGAGGAUGAUCAGCCACACUGGGACGU